GACGAACGCUGGCGGCGUGCUUAACACAUGCAAGUCGAACGGAAAGGCCCUGCUUUUGUGGGGUGCUCGAGUGGCGAACGGGUGAGUAACACGUGAGUAACCUGCCCUUGACUUUGGGAUAACUUCAGGAAACUGGGGCUAAUACCGGAUAGGAGCUCCUGCUGCAUGGUGGGGGUUGGAAAGUUUCGGCGGUUGGGGAUGGACUCGCGGCUUAUCAGCUUGUUGGUGGGGUAGUGGCUUACCAAGGCUUUGACGGGUAGCCGGCCUGAGAGGGUGAACGGCCGCAUUGGGACUGAGAUACGGCCCAGACUCCUACGGGAGGCAGAAGUGGGGAAUAUUGCACAAUGGGCGGAAGCCUGAUGCAGCAACGCCGCGUGCGGGAUGACGGCCUUCGGGUUGUAAACCGCUUUCGCCUGUGACGAAGCGUGAGUGACGGUAAUGGGUAAAGAAGCACCGGCUAACUACGUG
rnacentral:rRNA from 1 species